rnacentral:lncRNA from 1 species
UCACCACCACACAUAACAGGGGUUGGAGGAAUCAAUAACGAAGGUUCUUUACCCUCUGGCAAAGGAGGGACAUCAUCUCCCAACUCAGCUGCUAACCUUUCAGCAACAUCCUGUAGACCAUGGACAGAUGCUGUAAUAUAAGCAAGAGGUAAGUGACCAGCAUUCUCCAAGAUCUUAACUCGUUCCUGUAUAUCACCAAGGUACAAAGCAUUGUGAAACUGACCCAUAACAUCAUUCUUAACUUCUGCAAUUUUCAGCAUCUUGGAUAACUUUUCCAGGUUACCAUUUACGAGAUAAAGAAAAGACAAUCUCUCAAAGUUCUUAGUCCUCUGGUAGGCAUAUUCCACAAUAGCAGCAUUGCCUUGGCGAAGGGCCUCCACACCCAACCUAUACCAAUGAUCUUUGUC